AUUGAACGCUGGCGGCAUGCCUUACACAUGCAAGUCGAACGGCAGCGGGCCCUUCGGGGUGCCGGCGAGUGGCGAACGGGUGAGUAAUGCAUCGGAACGUACCCGGGAGAGGGGGAUAACCGGCCGAAAGGCUGGCUAAUACCGCAUGAACUCGGAAGAGCAAAGCGGGGGACCUUCGGGCCUCGCGCUCUCGGAGCGGCCGAUGUCCGAUUAGGCUAGUUGGUGGGGUAAAGGCCCACCAAGGCGACGAUCGGUAGCGGGUCUGAGAGGACGAUCCGCCACACUGGGACUGAGACACGGCCCAGACUCCUACGGGAGGCAGCAGUGGGGAAUAUUGGACAAUGGGCGCAAGCCUGAUCCAGCAAUGCCGCGUGGGUGAAGAAGGCCUUCGGGUUGUAAAGCCCUUUCGGCGGGGAAGAAAUCGGUCAGGCGAAUAGUCUGGCCGGAUGACGGUACCCGCAGAAGAAGCACCGGCUAACUACGUG
rnacentral:rRNA from 1 species